AUUGAACGCUGGCGGCAGGCCUAACACAUGCAAGUCGAGCGGAGAUGAGGUGCUUGCACCUUAUCUUAGCGGCGGACGGGUGAGUAAUGCUUAGGAAUCUGCCUAUUAGCGGGGGACAACAUUCCGAAAGGAAUGCUAAUACCGCAUACGUCCUACGGGAGAAAGCAGGGGAUCUUCGGACCUUGCGCUAAUAGAUGAGCCUAAGUCGGAUUAGCUAGUUGGUGGGGUAAAGGCCUACCAAGGCGACGAUCUGUAGCGGGUCUGAGAGGAUGAUCCGCCACACUGGGACUGAGACACGGCCCAGACUCCUACGGGAGGCAGCAGUGGGGAAUAUUGGACAAUGGGGGAAACCCUGAUCCAGCCACGCCGCGUGUGUGAAGAAGGCCUUAUGGUUGUAAAGCACUUUAAGCGAGGAGGAGGCUACUGAGACUAAUACUCUUGGAUAGUGGACGUUACUCGCAGAAUAAGCACCGGCUAACUCUGUGCCAGCCGCCGCAGUAA
rnacentral:rRNA from 1 species